GCUAGCGGCAGCUUAACACAUGCAAGUCGAACGGUAACUCUUGGUGCUUGCACCAAAAGACGAGUGGCGGACGGGUGCGUAACGCGUAUGCAAUCUACCUUUUACUAGGGUAUAGCCCAGAGAAAUUUGGAUUAAUCCCCUAUAAUAUCAUGAAAUCGCAUGGUUUUAUGAUUAAAGCUUCGGUGGUAAAAGAUGAGCAUGCGUCCUAUUAGUUUGUAGGUGAGGUAACGGCUCACCUAGACUACGAUAGGUAGGGGCCCUGAGAGGGGGAUCCCCCACACUGGUACUGAGACACGGACCAGACUCCUACGGGAGGCAGCAGUGAGGAAUAUUGGACAAUGGACGAAAGUCUGAUCCAGCUAUGCCGCGUGCAGGAUGACAGCCCUACGGGUUGUAAACUGCUUUUAUACAGGAAGAAAAUCUCCGACGUGUCGGGGCUUGACGGUACUGUAAGAAUAAGGAUCGGCUAACUCCGUGCCAGCAGCCGCGGUAAUACGGAGGAUCCAAGCGUUAUCCGGAAUUAUUGGGUUUAAAGGGUCCGCAGGCGGUUUUUUAAGUCAGAGGUGAAAUCCUACAGCUCAACUGUAGAAUUGCCUUUGAAACUGAAAGACUUGAGUUAUUGUGAAGUGGUUAGAAUGUGUGGUGUAGCGGUGAAAUGCAUAGAUAUCACACAGAAUACCAAUUGCGAAGGCAGAUCACUAACAAUUAACUGACGCUCAGGGACGAAAGCGUGGGUAGCGAACAGGAUUAGAUACCCUGGUAGUCCACGCCGUAAACGAUGGAUACUAGCUGUAUGUCUACCUCAGGUAGAUGUGUGGCCAAGCGAAAGUGAUAAGUAUCCCACC
rnacentral:rRNA from 1 species